CAGCAGCCGCGGGAAUACGUAGGUCCCGAGCGUUGUCCGGAUUUAUUGGGCGUAAAGCGAGCGCAGGCGGUUAGAUAAGUCUGAAGUUAAAGGCUGUGGCUUAACCAUAGUACGCUUUGGAAACUGUUUAACUUGAGUGCAAGAGGGGAGAGUGGAAUUCCAUGUGUAGCGGUGAAAUGCGUAGAUAUAUGGAGGAACACCGGUGGCGAAAGCGGCUCUCUGGCUUGUAACUGACGCUGAGGCUCGAAAGCGUGGGGCGCAAACAGGAUUAGAUACCCCAGUAGUCCCUGUCUCUUAUACC
rnacentral:rRNA from 1 species